rnacentral:rRNA from 1 species
UACGUAGGGGGCAAGCGUUGUCCGGAUUUAUUGGGCGUAAAGAGCGUGUAGGCGGCCAAACAGGUCAGCUGUGAAAACUCGAGGCUCAACCUCGAGACGUCGGUUGAAACCAUCUGGCUAGAGUCCGGAAGAGGAGUGUGGAAUUCCCGGUGUAGCGGUGAAAUGCGUAGAUAUUGGGAGGAACACCAGUGGCGAAGGCGGCUCACUGGACCGGUACUGACGCUGAUGCGCGAAAGCGUGGGGAGCAAACGGG